GAUAAACGCUGGCGGCGUGCCUAAUACAUGCAAGUCGAGCGAACGGACGAGAAGCUUGCUUCUCUGAUGUUAGCGGCGGACGGGUGAGUAACACGUGGAUAACCUACCUAUAAGACUGGGAUAACUUCGGGAAACCGGAGCUAAUACCGGAUAAUAUUUUGAACCGCAUGGUUCAAAAGUGAAAGACGGUCUUGCUGUCACUUAUAGAUGGAUCCGCGCUGCAUUAGCUAGUUGGUAAGGUAACGGCUUACCAAGGCAACGAUGCAUAGCCGACCUGAGAGGGUGAUCGGCCACACUGGAACUGAGACACGGUCCAGACUCCUACGGGAGGCAGCAGUAGGGAAUCUUCCGCAAUGGGCGAAAGCCUGACGGAGCAACGCCGCGUGAGUGAUGAAGGUCUUCGGAUCGUAAAACUCUGUUAUUAGGGAAGAACAUAUGUGUAAGUAACUGUGCACAUCUUGACGGUACCUAAUCAGAAAGCCACGGCUAACUACGUGCCAGCAGCCGCGGUAAUACGUAGGUGGCAAGCGUUAUCCGGAAUUAUUGGGCGUAAAGCGCGCGUAGGCGGUUUUUUAAGUCUGAUGUGAAAGCCCACGGCUCAACCGUGGAGGGUCAUUGGAAACUGGAAAACUUGAGUGCAGAAGAGGAAAGUGGAAUUCCAUGUGUAGCGGUGAAAUGCGCAGAGAUAUGGAGGAACACCAGUGGCGAAGGCGACUUUCUGGUCUGUAACUGACGCUGAUGUGCGAAAGCGUGGGGAUCAAACAGGAUUAGAUACCCUGGUAGUCCACGCCGUAAACGAUGGGUGCUAAGUGUUAGGGGGUUUCCGCCCCUUAGUGCUGCAGCUAACGCAUUAAGCACUCCGCCUGGGGAGUACGACCGCAAGGUUGAAACUCAAAGGAAUUGACGGGGACCCGCACAAGCGGUGGAGCAUGUGGUUUAAUUCGAAGCAACGCGAAGAACCUUACCAAAUCUUGACAUCCUUUGACAACUCUAGAGAUAGAGCCUUCCCCUUCGGGGGACAAAGUGACAGGUGGUGCAUGGUUGUCGUCAGCUCGUGUCGUGAGAUGUUGGGUUAAGUCCCGCAACGAGCGCAACCCUUAAGCUUAGUUGCCAUCAUUAAGUUGGGCACUCUAAGUUGACUGCCGGUGACAAACCGGAGGAAGGUGGGGAUGACGUCAAAUCAUCAUGCCCCUUAUGAUUUGGGCUACACACGUGCUACAAUGGACAAUACAAAGGGCAGCGAAACCGCGAGGUCAAGCAAAUCCCAUAAAGUUGUUCUCAGUUCGGAUUGUAGUCUGCAACUCGACUACAUGAAGCUGGAAUCGCUAGUAAUCGUAGAUCAGCAUGCUACGGUGAAUACGUUCCCGGGUCU
rnacentral:rRNA from 1 species